AGAAAUAGGUAUUUAUUUUGCCCAAAAAUGACAAAAUUGCUUCUUUUCUCUUUCCCCAUUCUCUUCUCUCUCACGAUUUUCUCUCUUUUCUGAACCAAUUUUUUUUUCCGUGACUUAAUUUAUGAUUUGGAAGAUGAAUCUCUUUGGAUCUGUGAGAGAUUAAUCGAUAUCUCUCAGUUUAUGUACCUGGCCGCCGUCUAUUUGGAUGGGAGGCCAAAAAAUUUGAUGUCAAAGUGACGGAGAUACUGUUGAUGGAGCAGGAAGAUGAUAAGCCAUGGUUUUGAAGGCAUGGUCGGAAGAAGAAAGAAGGAUUGUGAUCGGCGGCCAUCAGUAGAAAAAAGUGGUUGUUGGUGUUUGUCCGGUGAAGAGAACGAAGGAGAAGAUAUAAGGGUAAAAAAGAAAUUUUGUUUAACAAAAAAGGCCUAAAUUCGAGAGUCCGAACUAGAAUACCUAAUCUCAAAUAUUUAGCCCACAAAAGCCCCAUUUUAAUAAAUAUCCCAUUAUAAGUACAAUAUAUUUUAUGAAA